rnacentral:lncRNA from 1 species
UGUGUGUGUUUUGUGGGCUUAACAACCAAUUAUACAAGAAGUAUUUAUUUAUUUAUUUAUAAAUAUAUAUUGAUUAAUUAUAUAUAUUAUUUUAUUUUUAUAAUAUAAAUAUAUUAUUAUAUAAUAAUUUAUUAUAUAACUUACUAUUUAUUUUUAUAAUUAUUUAUUUAUAUUCUAUAGUACUUUUAUUUAUAUAUAUAUAAUUUUAUUUCUAAAUAUAUAUUUAGUUAAUAUAUAUAGUAUUAUAUUUUUAUAAUAUGGAUAUAUUAUUAUAUAAUAAUUUAUUAUAUAAUAUACUACUUUAUAGAGGAUUUUAAAUUUCUGAAUAAUAUUGUAAAAUGUGCACUCCCAAUAGAGUGUGCCAAUAGUAUUAUUCAAAAAUUAUAAUAGUGGAAACUGAAAAAAUUCAUGUUAGAAACGAAAGGUACAGCUUUAUUCAAAAUAAAAAUGAUUUUUCUUAAAAUAUGCUAUAUCAGUUUGUGCCAGUGUUAAAUCCUACUUCCAAACCAAAUCAAAACCAAAUAAAAUAAAUUGGUUCAAUCUAUAUGCUACCUACGAAAUCGAGUUUAUUGUCGUUUGGUCCUCAGUUUGCAUCCAAACUCGAACGCACCAACUUUUUUCCCCUUUUCCCCCUCUUUUUUAAUUCUUUUUGUUUUGUUCAGAAUAAUCUUAGAUCACAUUCAAAAAAUAAAAAAUUUAAUUUGAAAUUUAAAAUUUAAUUUUUAAAUUAAAAAUUAAAUUUUAAAGCGAAUAUUCUUUGAUAUUACUGACUUUACGGUUUAUGUGCUAUUUACUAUAUAAUUUAAAAUUUUUAAAAAUUUACAUAAAUGUUUCACUGCGUAGCGCGGGCCUUCACUAGUAAUAAUAAUAA